AGAGUUUGAUCCUGGCUCAGGAUGAACGCUAGCGACAGGCUUAACACAUGCAAGUCGAGGGGCAGCGGGGAGUAGCAAUACUUCGCCGGCGACCGGCGCACGGGUGAGUAACACGUGUGCAACCAACCCCGUACCGGGAGAUAACCCGCGGAAACGUGGACUAACACCCCAUAAUACCUUUCCCCCGCAUGGGGGGGAGUUUAAAACCCCGGUGGUACGGGACGGGCACGCGCGACAUUAGGUAGUUGGCGGGGUAACGGCCCACCAAGCCGACGAUGUCUAGGGGUUCUGAGAGGAAGGUCCCCCACACUGGAACUGAGACACGGUCCAGACUCCUACGGGAGGCAGCAGUGAGGAAUAUUGGUCAAUGGGCGAGAGCCUGAACCAGCCAAGUCGCGUGAGGGAAGAAUGGUCUAUGGCCUGUAAACCUCUUUUGUCAAGGAAGAACAUGUAGUACGUGUACUACCCUGCCAGUACUUGACGAAUAAGCAUCGGCUAACUCCGUGCCAGCAGCCGCGGUAAUACGGGGGAUGCGAGCGUUAUCCGGAUUUAUUGGGUUUAAAGGGCGCGUAGGCGGGACGUCAAGUCAGCGGUAAAAGACUGCAGCUAAACUGUAGCACGCCGUUGAAACUGUCGACCUGGAGACGAGACGAGGGAGGCGGAACAAGUGAAGUAGCGGUGAAAUGCAUAGAUAUCACUUGGAACCCCGAUAGCGAAGGCAGCUUCCCAGGCUCGAUCUGACGCUGAUGCGCGAGAGCGUGGGUAGCGAACAGGAUUAGAUACCCUGGUAGUCCACGCCGUAAACGAUGCUCACUGGAUCUUGGCGAUACACGGCCAGGGUUCAAGCGAAAGUAUUAAGUGAGCCACC
rnacentral:rRNA from 1 species